rnacentral:rRNA from 1 species
UACGAAGGGGGCGAGCGUUGUUCGGAUUUACUGGGCGUAAAGGGCGCGCAGGCGGUGCAUUUUGUCAGGCGUGAAAGCCCCGAGCUUAACCUGGGAACUGCGUUUGAUACGGAUGGGCUAGAGUUCGGGAGAGGAGAGUGGAAUUCCCAGUGUAGAGGUGAAAUUCGUAGAUAUUCGGAAGAACACCCGUGGCGAAGGCGGUUCUCUGGGACGGUACUGGCGCUGAGACGCGAAAGCGUGGGGAGCGAACAGG